CCGCAUCUGUGCAUGCAGCAUAUCAAUAAGCGGAGGAAAAGAAACUAACAAGGAUUCCCUUAGUAACGGCGAGUGAAGCGGGAAGAGCUCAAAUUUGAAAUCUUCAAGGUUUUACCUUGACGAAUUGUAGUUUAAAGAAGUGUUUUCUGUUGAAGUUUUGGUAAAAGUUCUUUGGAAUAGGACAUCAUAGAGGGUGAGAAUCCCGUAUUUGACCAUUAUUUUCAGCUGUGUGAUACACCUUCAAAGAGUCGGAUUGUUUGGGAAUGCAGUCCAAAAUGGGUGGUAAAUUUCAUCUAAAGCUAAAUAUUGGCGAGAGACCGAUAGCGAACAAGUACCGUGAGGGAAAGAUGAAAAGAACUUUGAAAAGAGAGUUAAACAGUACGUGAAAUUGUCAAAAGGGAAGCGUUUGACACCAGUGUUGUUUUCUCGAAAAUCAAUUAAAAAGAGUUGGAUUUUGUUGUGUAUUGACCUUAACAGCUUGCAUUCAAUCUUUUCCUUGCUUUUUUUAAUGCACUUUUCGUUUAACAAGUCAACAUCAGUUUCUUUUGUUGUAAAAAGGUCAUUGGAAGGUGGCUUUCUUUUCGGAGAAAGUGUUUAUAGCCUUUGACUCCUGCAAUCGGAGAGACUGAGGUCUGCAGCGUAGAUCCUUCGGGGUUAGAUACAUUUGUGCUAAGUUAUAGCUUUUUAUAGACAACUUGUUGACUAUGAUUAGUCUUGUAGCUUACUCGCUUAUGCUAUUUUACCUACGCUUAGGAUGUUGACGCGCGUGUGUGCGUG
rnacentral:rRNA from 1 species